UUAACUGGGAUUAGAUACCCCAYUAUGCUUAGCCAUAAACAUUGAUAUUAAUCUACCUGUUUUAUCCGCCCGGGUACUACGAGCACCAGCUUAAAACCCAAAGGACUUGACGGUGCUUUAGAUCCACCUAGAGGAGCCUGUUCUAGAACCGAUAAUCCCCGUUAAACCUCACCUCUCCUUGUUUCAUCAGCCUAUAUACCGCCGUCGUCAGUUUACUCUGUGAAGAAUUUGAAGUAAGCACAAUUGGCACAGCCCAAAACGCCAGGUCGAGGUGUAGCCAAUGGAGAGGAAAGAAAUGGGCUACAUUCAAUAAAAAUAAUGAACACGAAUGAUGUUUUGAAAUAAAUAUCUAAAGGAGGAUUUAGCAGUAAGUAGAGAAUAGAGUGCUCUACUGAAAUUGGCCCUGAAGCGCGUACACACCGCCCGUCACUCUCCCCAAGCUAAAAAAGCACAUUUCUAAAAAACAAAACCUGCAAAGGGGAGGCAAGUCGUAACAUGGUAAGUGUACCGGAAGGUGCGCUUGG
rnacentral:rRNA from 1 species